rnacentral:tRNA from 1 species
GCGCGAGUGGCGGAACAGGUAGACGCGAGGGACUUAAAAUCCCUUGGAUGAAUAAUCCGUGCGGGUUCGAUUCCCGCCUUGCGCACCA